AGUCGCCCACGGUUUGUCAUUGCUAAGAGUGAUGGGACGGGGGGUCGAGGAGGUGGCAAAGGAAUUAGCUGAGCAACAAUACAGGCAAAUGGGACCGCCACUUUUGAGGCAAUAUUGACAAUCGGAACCUCAGGCUGAGGAGAAGGGGAAUCCUGCAGGUCACUGCCAAAGUGCGGAAUGUUCUUCUUUCAUCUUGCAGAUACGGGCAGAGACCCGUUCCUGCUGUCGCCUGCCCAUGAGAUCCUCCAUUAACUCCUAACCUGCGCGGGGACCGGAACGGGACAAAGACCAGCCUGCGAACAAACGGUAACACGUCCGCGACUGUCCGCCCCCCGAAUCACUGAAUUUAUUUACCUACCCCAGAGCCCAUUCAGCCAUUCCCGCAAAAAACAGAGGAGGACAAAAAUGGCACAAAGAGCAGGGCGGUCCAUUCAGAAAGGGCAAAGAUGAAGCUUUGUGUGCGUCUGCUACCCGACCAGAUCUGACAGGCCCUAACCAGGCCUCGGAUUCUUUGUGUCACCCGCAUAAUAGGCAAAGCACAAGCUGAGCAACCGCGGCAUGGUGGCCCAGACUAUUAGUCAACGUGAGCGCCUUUGGAGAUGCUAAUGGUCGGCAUAGUGUGUCCUCCUCAGCCCGUGAAGGUGGCUAUCUGCUAGCACAAAGGGGGGUCUUGACGGGGAAGGUGGGGGGGCAGAGAGGGCUGACUUUCUCAUGUCUUUAGGCAUGUGAAUGAAGUCACAAAGCG